rnacentral:rRNA from 1 species
UACGGAGGGGGCUAGCGUUGUUCGGAAUUACUGGGCGUAAAGCGCGCGUAGGCGGACCUGCAAGUCGGGGGUGAAAGCCCGAGGCUCAACCUCGGAACUGCCUUCGAUACUGCGGGUCUCGAGUCCGGGAGAGGUGAGUGGAAUUCCUAGUGUAGAGGUGAAAUUCGUAGAUAUUCGGAAGAACACCAGUGGCGAAGGCGGCUCACUGGCCCGGUACUGACGCUGAUGUGCGAAAGCUAGGGGAGCAAACGGG